rnacentral:rRNA from 1 species
UACGUAGGGUGCGAGCAUUGUCCGGAAUUAUUGGGCGUAAAGAGCUCGUAGGCGGCUUGUCGCGUCGGAUGUGAAAGCCCGGGGCUUAACCCCGGGUCUGCAUUCGAUACGGGCAGGCUAGAGUUCGGUAGGGGAGAUCGGAAUUCCUGGUGUAGCGGUGAAAUGCGCAGAUAUCAGGAUGAACACCGGUGGCGAAGGCGGAUCUCUGGGCCGAUACUGACGCUGAGGAGCGAAAGCGUGGGGAGCGAACAGG